rnacentral:lncRNA from 1 species
CACCAAAACACAAACCCUAACCUGCCCAUUUCCAUUACACAAUCCAAACUCCAUCCCAUCUCCACCACACAGGCCCAAGAUUAAAAAUAUCCAAAUCACCCAUUACUCAAUCUACCCAAUCUCAUUAUCACUUAAACCUAACUACCCAAUUUCAUUAUCACUUGACCCAUUUCAACAUAGCCUUUACCCAGCCCAUAUAAUCAACCCAAUACCCAAACCACCCAGAACCUAAAUAUCUCCUCCACAUCGGCGACUUCGCUACAAGCCAGCGACCAUCCAACCGCAAUUCGUACGAUGUUCCCCACGUCGGCGACCCACUUCACAGCCAUCGCUGGCAACCCACCAAUCGCCACACAACACCUUCUCUGACCUCCAUCCCUGCUUCGUUGUGCCGCUUCCCUUGCAACCACCUUUCGUCGCCAACUGCCAGCAAUCCACUGCCACGUCAGCAUCACACAUCUCUCAGUUGUAUCAAUGUUUUGCUCCACUGCCCAAAGCCAACACAGAAUCGCUUAAUCACCACGCAACCACAUCAAACACAGCCUUCAUUCUGCGUUGCUAUAGUUUUUUUCAUCGCUGCUACUUUGGAAGAAUUGCCGGUGAUUUUGGAGUUUGAUUUUGCCUUAAUUUCACACUGGUGGACUUCUUCAGAGUUCGAAUUGCCAAGGACAUUUGUUGAAUUUGAUUUGGCCUAUUAUUUGCGUUGGGUGCAUCUUGUUAAAACUCUCAAAGAUUAAUGAUCUAUUCAGCUACUCGAUUGCUCAAGAGUAUUCCAUUACAAUAAUCCACUGGAGACGUGCCAACUUGAAAAUCAUAUUUUGUACACAGUUUUAUUCUUUUGAGUCUCGUGAGUACAUCGUCUGCAACUUCAAGCUCAUGAUCGCCUCUACAAGUCAACAACAGAGAGUCGUUGUUCUCUAUUUAUCUAUAGUUCGUCUGCAACUUCAAGCUCAUGAUCGCCUCUACAAGUCAACAACAGAGAGUCGUUGUUCUCUAUUUAUCUAUAGUUUAUACUACUUGAUGAGGACAUCACUUGUUUGGGCUAGCUUAUUUUUUUGUGGAUCAUUUGCUAUUGUUUUAUUUCAUUUGUCUUGUAUUAUUGGGUUUGACCUAGGCCCACUUACUUUUUAGGUUAAUUGGUUUAUUUAUUUAUAAGACUUGAUAAUGUAUUUCAAAGAGACCAUGAGGAAUUAGAUUGGAAGUUGUUUUAGCUUGUAGCUGUUUCUUCCUUCCCUUCCCUGGUCUAUCCACUUUCUUCCCCCCUUUCUCUCCUUUUCUUACUGCCCUCUUCUUCGUUUUUUUGGUAGAAUUUUUGUUCUUCUUGUGCUACACUGCUGCAGGAAUCAUCCCACUUAUCCUGCAUAUUUCACCAUCACUUCCAGUCCCCCGCCGCCUUCUCUGCCUCUAUUUCAACCGCUACAACGCCAAUCCAAACAUUUCUCCUAGCACACAACCCAUCAUUAUAGCCACAUCUGAUUUCAACGAUCUUUCCACAACCCACUUCAACAGCAACUAUAACCACCCACAUAUAAAACAGCCCACUACCCAAAAUUUUCCUUCACAACAAACUCUGAUCCAAACCUCCUCCACAACCCUUUCACUUGUUGCAACCGUCGAUCUUCACCUACCCACGUCACCACAUCGUCCACUACCGCAAGCCCCAUACACAGAAAAUCAAAGCCGAUCCCAAAAGGCACACACCAUCGCUGCUGUACCUUUACUCUACCAGUUAACGCCUUUCCACCUCCCCUAACGCCGACGACCCAAAAUCGACCCACUGUCUCCCAAAUUUCGAACCACUGCGACGCCAAUCAUUGCCAACACUAGCCGUUCUCUGUCGCUGACAACCAAAGUCCAUCAACCGUUGCUGCUACCUAUUUUUAUAGAUAAGGUUGCAAAUAUUGGGGUCGUUGCACGUGUGAAAAGAGGAGUUAUUUCAAGCCCUAUUUGGCUACUGUGAUUCUAAAGUUUUGUUUGGGCUUCAGUAUAUAGCUUGUUUUUAGUUUUGUUUAGGCCACUGUUUAUAUUCCUAUUUUUGGCUCAUUUUUUUAGUUAGG